AAGAUUCUGGACAAAGAUAAGGACGAAUUAUGGAUAAUUUCAGUAUGGAUAUAUAUAUUUACAAUUCGGUCCUCAAAUUUGGUAAAAUUACGUUUUGGUCCCUGUUUUGGAAAAUUGUCGUUUUAGUCCCUAAACUCGGGAGAUUAAGCCCAGUUUAUUUUAUGCAUUUGUAUCUUUUGUUUGAUUUGUUUUUGAGUAUAUUUCAUAUAUUUAUUGUAGGUUCUCCUAACGAUCCUUAAUCGGAUUUUCGGGUCUUUUGCCUGACAUUCCUUUAGUUCAGUAUUUUCCGGGUGAGUGGAAUAAUCUUUAAUAUGCAUAUAAUAUAAAUAAAUAUGUAUGUUGAUUAUACAAUGAGUACGACUAGUAAAUUUCUUGAAUAUUUAUAUAUGUUGCUUUAUUUUCCGAGUACUCAUUUAUUCUUGAAUUUGCACUCGCAAUCUGAUAAAGUAAAUUCUAUUUGAUAUGAUAUACGUUUCUUUGAUGAUUCUGUGAAUAUCUAUUAUGCCUUGAUAUGGGACUUGUUAGUAACUCCAUGCUAACGGAGAAUAGUUAGCCUGUGUGCACAUAGUAUUCUGUUACCUAGCUGGUGAGAGAGGCAUCAGCCUGUGGUGAUUGAUCAUCCCACAGUGGUCAUUGACGGGUGUCAUCUGGUCACCGACGGGUGUCAUCUGGUCACCUUCGGGUGUCAUCUGAUCUCUGACAUGUAAUCCACUACGUUAUGAUAAUAUGCUACGUUAUGAUAAUAUGUUUAGUAAGUAUAUGUAUAUGUAUAUGUAUAUGUAUAUCAAGAUAAAUCAUCUUGCAAAUAAUAUCUGAAAUAUAUGAAAUGUAUAUUAAAUGUUAUUCCCUCAUUGAGUUGGUUGAACUCACCCUCAUUUUUAAUAUUAUUUCAGGUUCUUAGUUUCUGGAACUUUGUUGAGUGUUUCCGCUUCUUCAGUUCUGGUCGGUAUGCCUUGCUUGUUCGCAAGGCUUUCCUUUCAGUUUUGAUUUGAUGUCUUAGACGCUCCACUGUUACCUUGUUUUAAUUACAUUUGGAUUUUGACAAUGUAAUGAGUAUUAUGAAUUAUUAUUUUUGUUUUAAUAAUUAUCUUUCGGUUUCAUCAGUAUUUGAAUAAUAUAAUAUUUCUGAAUAUUAUGAGCCGCUGCGUAUUUUUGAACAAAUUGUUCU
rnacentral:lncRNA from 1 species